rnacentral:rRNA from 1 species
AGUUCUCGUUGAUGAUCGGUGCUUGCACCGAGAUUCAACAUGGAACGAGUGGCGGACGGGUGAGUAACACGUGGGUAACCUGCCCUUAAGUGGGGGAUAACAUUUGGAAACAGAUGCUAAUACCGCAUAGAUCCAAGAACCGCAUGGUUCUUGGCUGAAAGAUGGCGUAAGCUAUCGCUUUUGGAUGGACCCGCGGCGUAUUAGCUAGUUGGUGAGGUAAUGGCUCACCAAGGCGAUGAUACGUAGCCGAACUGAGAGGUUGAUCGGCCACAUUGGGACUGAGACACGGCCCAAACUCCUACGGGAGGCAGCAGUAGGGAAUCUUCCACAAUGGACGCAAGUCUGAUGGAGCAACGCCGCGUGAGUGAAGAAGGCUUUCGGGUCGUAAAACUCUGUUGUUGGAGAAGAAUGGUCGGCAGAGUAACUGUUGUCGGCGUGACGGUAUCCAACCAGAAAGCCACGGCUAACUACGUGCCAGCAGCCGCGGUAAUACGUAGGUGGCAAGCGUUAUCCGGAUUUAUUGGGCGUAAAGCGAGCGCAGGCGGUUUUUUAAGUCUGAUGUGAAAGCCCUCGGCUUAACCGAGGAAGCGCAUCGGAAACUGGGAAACUUGAGUGCAGAAGAGGACAGUGGAACUCCAUGUGUAGCGGUGAAAUGCGUAGAUAUAUGGAAGAACACCAGUGGCGAAGGCGGCUGUCUGGUCUGUAACUGACGCUGAGGCUCGAAAGCAUGGGUAGCGAACAGGAUUAGAUACCCUGGUAGUCCAUGCCGUAAACGAUGAAUGCUAGGUGUUGGAGGGUUUCCGCCCUUCAGUGCCGCAGCUAACGCAUUAAGCAUUCC